rfam:Aspergillus luchuensis DNA, map: 4-1 F, contig: AA1_SCon_008, strain: RIB 2604.
ACAUACGACCACAGGGUUUGGAAAACAGGGCUUCCCGUCCGCUCAGCCGUACUUAAGCCACACGCCGGGAGAUUAGUAGUUGGGUGGGUGACCACCAGCGAAUCCCUUCUGUUGUAUGUA